UACGUAGGGUGCGAGCGUUGUCCGGAAUUAUUGGGCGUAAAGAGCUCGUAGGCGGUCUGUCGCGUCGGUCGUGAAAACUUGGGGCUUAACCCUGAGCUUGCGGUCGAUACGGGCAUGACUGGAGUUCGGCAGGGGAGACUGGAAUUCCUGGUGUAGCGGUGAAAUGCGCAGAUAUCAGGAGGAACACCGGUGGCGAAGGCAGGUCUCUGGGCUGACACUGACACUGAGAGACGAAAGCUAGGGGAGCGAAUGGG
rnacentral:rRNA from 1 species